rnacentral:rRNA from 1 species
UGAGGAAUAUUGGUCAAUGGGCGAGAGCCUGAACCAGCCAAGUCGCGUGAAGGAUGAAGGUGCUAUGCAUUGUAAACUUCUUUUGUAAGGGAAUAAAAAGCGGCACGUGUGCUGUAUUGUAUGUACUUUACGAAUAAGGAUCGGCUAACUCCGUGCCAGCAGCCGCGGUAAUACGGAGGAUCCGAGCGUUAUCCGGAUUUAUUGGGUUUAAAGGGUGCGUAGGCGGAAUGAUAAGUCAGUGGUGAAAGUUUGUAGCUCAACUAUAAAAUUGCCAUUGAAACUGUCGUUCUUGAGUGCAAAUGAGGUAGGCGGAAUGUGUUGUGUAGCGGUGAAAUGCUUAGAUAUAACACAGAACCCCGAUUGCGAAGGCAGCUUACUGGGAUGCAACUGACGCUGAGGC